AAACGCGAAUAAAUCUUAUCAAUUAGAAAAAUUAUACGAUACACGUUAUACGUUAUACAUUGAAGAAAAACAAAUACGAAAUAUCAAACACGACGUGUUAUUAUUAUUCGUUCGUAGAAGUCGAAGGAUUCGAAUAUGGCAAAUGAAUAUACACAAAUAUACGCUGCUGACUAAUCUCGAGGAUUUUGUGUAUUUUUGUUUUUGCAACAAUCGAGGCACCACAGUUUGUGUAGCGAUGGCCUUGUAACAAGUAUCGCUUCUCAUUGUGGCCGUGUAAACGUUGACGAAUGGAUCGACACGCGCUUGGAAACGUUAAUAUUAAGCAACGCAAAAUUGUGUGAUUUCAUCAUAUUCUCUUUUCUCUUAAUCACUGUCUUCUUUUUAGAAAUUUUCUAAACGAAAUAAUACGAAGUAACGCAAUAUCGAAUUGAAAGAAGCAUUCAUUUUACGUUUUCACUUCGAUUUGGAAAUUAUCCUUUUAAUUAUCGAUCACGUUUCUUCUUCGACCGAUAAAAGUUGGAGAUGCUUUUAAGAUGUCGAAAGAAAGGUACUACUAGCACUGAGAAACUCAAAUCCAGUUAUCCAGUAUUGCAAAUUAAUCUUGUUUCAAAUGAAAUCUGAUUAAUUUUCUAAAAGAUUGUCGAUUUAUGCUACGUCGAUAAUUUAAUUAACGGUAUCAAUUUCGGUGAAAAUCUAUUUCACCUUCGUGGAAUUCGUGUCGGUAUUGCGAAUGCAUGUAAGUAAUAAUUAGAAAUCACAUAGUCGGUAAUAGGUAUAGAGGUAAAAGUCUGGUACGCUUGUAAGCUUUCUGAUCGAUAGCCACUAAAAUUAACAUGAUGCGACCAGGUGAACCGUGUUGCUCGUGGAGUGUGGUUCAUGAUUUAUGACCACCAUAGAGAGUUAAUACAUCGCGUCUGUAAAUAAAACG
rnacentral:lncRNA from 1 species